CCCCCAGCGCCAUCCCCCAGGUGCUCACUGCAUCCUCACCUGCCCUGAAGGAUAGGGUUCGCGCUGCCCUUGUAACAGGGGGGCCGGAGCCCAGGGCCGCUCAGCUACCGGCCCAAGGCGUCUGACCUCCCCCGUCCCCCCAUGGCUUUGCCUGAGACUCUCCAUGCGCCCCGUCCCGCAGUCGUUCCUUCGGGCCCGAUGACAACCCUGGGAGCUCAGAGCCAGGCACACAGCGGGGGCACUUUAGCCACUGCUGAAUUUGACCGGGGCCCCUUGCCAGCAGCCUCAGGAGGGCAGUGAGCAUGCCUGUCCGUCUGACCGCGCGGUGCCAGACAAGCCCAGCCCCAGAGCCGGUGGGGUGGGAGGUGUCUGGAAUUGUUGGCUUACCAGGACCAGUAGUAGAGAGAAGUUUCCAGACCCCGUGAGGUCUCCGGGCGUAUACCCCUGGAGGACACUUCUAGAUGCUGACAGAGACCCGGGUCUAAACAUGCCUUCGCCUGGACUGCAGAAUUUCUGGUCAGGCUAUGGUUGACUUCUGAGUGCCUCAGUUUCCUUUAGGGACCCCCAGCGCUUCCCACACCCCAGCCCCACCCGGCACUUUCCAGCUGGGCCUGCUCCCAGCCAGUCAGUGGCCUGGAUCAACUAUGCUCCUGAGUGUGAUGCCUGGUUCCUGACUGUGUGGCCAGGGGUGGCUGCCUUCACUCCGAGCCUCUCUCACUCAGCUGUGGGGUGGAGAGAGGGAGAAAGAGAGAGAGAGACAUCAAUGUGAGAGAGAAACAUGGCUGGCUUGCACAUGAGCCACACCAGGGACCAAACCCCCCAGCGCCCGGACCCGGAAUUAAACCCAGGACACUUCGGUUUAUGGACGGGAUGAUGCUCCAAGCAGCUGAGCCACACCUACUAUGUGAAAGACAUCAAGGGACGCAGCAGGAUGGAUGCGGCGCCUCCGGAGCGCUGGGGAGCACGGCGUCCUCGCAUGCGAGUGGAGCCCGCUCCUCACUGCGAACGCGGAUCGGGCUCCUGGGCCGCAGAACCAACCUUCCCAGACUUUCAGUAAGAGAAUUGUACAGCUGGAUGAACCCAGGCCCAAAGAUGGGAAGAGACUAGCCAAGGUCAC